AGAGGAGGGAGAGAAGGGAGGACAGAGCCGCGAUGGUCAAGGUCGGAAGGGACUCAGGUAGCUGGCCGCCCCAGCUGGGCCACUGAGGCUCAGAGAGGCAGGGCCAGCUCAAGGCCACAGUACCUGUGGGAGUCAAAGUGGGCUCCUGGGCCCUGGCUCCAGACCCUGAAGAAGGGUGAGAGGGGCCAGAGAGGAAGAGAGGAGGGACUCACGGAAGGGAGAGAGUAGGGUGGGGGCCUGGGAGCCCUGGGUGCCUCUCAGAGGCCAGCUGGAGCUACCCUGGAAUGACACGGGUUGUGUCAGAGCAUCUCUGGGAGGGACUGGGAGUGCCUCGGGAACCCAACCUGCUAACCAGACUCCCCCCACCCCAUCCCAGCUACCCAAAGGGGCCAGAGGAGUCCUAAGCCUCCCCCAAGGUGGGGGGUGAGCCAGGCAGGGGCAGGGGCCCAAGGCUGCUGGGGAGGUGGGGCGUUCUGCCGCCCAGCAAACCUCAGGACCCUCCCCCUGCCUCAGUUUCCUCAUCUCGAAAAUGGAACUAGUGGUGAAGUUCUGAGGUUCUGUCUCCUUCCUGGAUUCCUGGCCCAACCAGCCCUGUCAUGGGGUGGAGAGCAGUGACUCGGCAGAAAUGGAAGCGGGAGACUUACAAACCAACUGAGGGACUGUGGAUGGUCAGCUCCUUGAGAGGGACUCUCAUGGACCUGGCGCAGCGGAGGAGGCCUGGGCUAAACACCUCCCCAGCACUACUUCAAGCCUCCUGGCUUUGUCUCUGUCCUUCCUUUCUUUCUUCCAUGUUUUUUGUUUGUUUGUUUUUGUUUUUUUAGGGCCGCACCCUCAGCAUAUGGAAGUUCCCAAGCUAGGGGGCAAGUCGGAGCUGCAGCUGCCGGCCUACACCACAGCCACAGCAAUGCCAGAUCCAAGCCACCUCUACAACUUACACCACAGCUCACGGCAACUCUGGAUCCUUAACCCACUGCGCGAGGCUAGGGAUCGAACCCACAUCCUCACGGAUACUAGUCAGG
rnacentral:lncRNA from 9 species